UACAGAGGUCCCAAGCGUUGUUCGGAUUCACUGGGCGUAAAGGGUGCGUAGGCGGUCGGGUAAGUCUGAUGUGAAAUCUCACAGCUUAACUGUGAAACUGCAUUGGAUACUAUUCGGCUUGAGGAAUGGAGGGGAGACUGGAAUACUUGGUGUAGCAGUGAAAUGCGUAGAUAUCAAGUGGAACACCAGUGGCGAAGGCGAGUCUCUGGACAUUUCCUGACGCUGAGGCACGAAAGCCAGGGGAGCAAACGGG
rnacentral:rRNA from 1 species